rnacentral:rRNA from 1 species
AUUGAACGCUGGCGGCAUGCCUUACACAUGCAAGUCGAACGGCAGCGGGGGUGCUUGCACCUGCCGGCGAGUGGCGAACGGGUGAGUAAUGCAUCGGAACGUACCCAGUCGUGGGGGAUAACGCAGCGAAAGCUGUGCUAAUACCGCAUACGUCCUGAGGGAGAAAGCAGGGGAUCUUCGGACCUUGUGCGAUUGGAGCGGCCGAUGUCAGAUUAGCUAGUUGGUGAGGUAAAAGCUCACCAAGGCGACGAUCUGUAGCUGGUCUGGGAGGAGGAUCAGCAACACUGGAACUGGGACACGGUCCAGACUCCUACGGGAGGCAGCAGUGGGGAAUUUUGGACAAUGGGGGCAACCCUGAUCCAGCCAUGCCGCGUGAGUGAAGAAGGCCUUCGGGUUGUAAAGCUCUUUCGGCCGGGAAGAAAUCGUGCAGGCUAAUACCCUGUAUGGAUGACGGUACCGGAAUAAGAAGCACCGGCUAGCUACGUGACAGCCGCCGCCGUAA